UGCGCGUGGCUCCUCGCGCCCGGUAUUCGAAACACUUCAGUUACACCCCGGUGGCUGAUGAGGCCGUGCAUGGCGACUCUAGAGAGACUGCCUAACCUGUUUGGUGUCCACUGGUGUGGACUGGUAGGACCAUGUCCCACCAGGCCGGAGGAUACGCCGGCGGGGCCGGGGCGGAGGACCGGACUGCAGUGCCACGCUCCUCUGGGGUGACGGUCUCGAGAGAGCUGAGGCCAAGUCACUGGGGGUGAGGCGGUUCAGGUUAACCUGGAAAACGGCUUCUUUUUCUUAAGUCCCCAUGAUCUGGCCUCCAGCGUUCUGGGCGGCCCUCUCGGGUUGAGUGAGGCCGCGUGACCUGACGACUUUCAAAGUUCUCUCCAUGGAGAUUUUUACCCCGCAACCCCAACCGAAGCCUGUACUGCUGGCGGGUAGGGACUUCAGGGUAGUAAGAACGCGUUUAAAGCCAGACGUCAAGUUUAAUUUUGGGGGAGGCCUAGAUGUAUAUUGAAGGAAGCUUGGGCUGGUGGUUGGAGAAUGGGCCUGGUACCCCGAGUCGACCUUGGGUGAUGAACCCCAGACCACUCAUAUAGUUAAGCCACGCAGUUGUUUCGAGUUUUUAACCUUGUCUUCAGAUAAAGUUGGUUAAAGAGAAAGUGCUCUAAGGUCGCUGUAUUUAUUUCCACCGAGACGCUUGAUCUGUUUUGUAGCUUAGAGUAUCAUGUGUUCAGUGAAGGCAUUCCGGAAGGCCUGUGUCUACUUUAGAACUUUAGUAAUUAACCAAAAUGACGAACACAAAGGGAAGGAGGAGAGGCACCCGAUAUAUGUUCUCUAGGCCUUUUAGAAAACAUGGUAAGUAGGUUUACUUUCCUUUAGAGCAAGCAUGGCAUAUGUUUUUAUUAAUGUAUUUGUGUUAUGGUUCAUUUAAUGUUCUUAAAUGACGUUAAAUAGCAUCUUCCUAACAUUUUGUAGCUAAAAUUGGUGAACAAUUAAGUUAGGCUGUGAUUUUGUGGAAUGAUGUUUUACAGAGAGAUUGCUCAUUAGCAACAUUUAAAACUUUACAUGCCUGCCAAAGGUAAUGUGUAUGUAGAAAACUAGGAAAGUUAACAUGUUUGUUUUGUUUAUAUUUAUACUAUACCCUUUUUCUUUUUUGUUUGUAGGAGUUGUUCCUUUGGCGACAUAUAUGCGAAUCUACAAGAAAGGUGAUAUUGUAGACAUUAAGGUAAGUUAUAAGAUUGGGAAACUAACAGUACAGAACCUAUAAAAGUUAGGUAUAAUCUUAUAUUGGAAUUCAGGUACUAGUUUCUUUUUAAUCUAUUGGAUCCUUUCCAUCCCUCUAAAUUUUAGAAAGAAAAUCUGCCAGAAUGAAGUGUUCCUAAGAACAUGGAUUCCUAAGAGUAGAUUUUUUUUUUUUAAGAGAUUUUUUGUUAUAGUAUGUGUUUGCUCACUGGCGCUGGAGAGACAGAGAAAACAAAAAAUUAAUACCUCCUCAUCUGGGGUAUGGCCACGUCGC